rnacentral:miRNA from 1 species
GUAGAGCACUGGAUGGUUU